GGGGAUAACACGUUGGAAACAGGUGCUAAUACCGCAUAACUAGUUUAUGCCGCAUGGCAUAAGAGUGAAAGGCGCUUUCGGGUGUCGCUGAUGGAUGGACCCGCGGUGCAUUAGCUAGUUGGUGAGGUAACGGCUCACCAAGGCCACGAUGCAUAGCCGACCUGAGAGGGUGAUCGGCCACACUGGGACUGAGACACGGCCCAG
rnacentral:rRNA from 1 species